rnacentral:rRNA from 1 species
GAUGAACGCUAGCUACAGGCUUAACACAUGCAAGUCGAGGGGCAGCAUGGUCUUAGCUUGCUAAGGCCGAUGGCGACCGGCGCACGGGUGAGUAACACGUAUCCAACCUGCCGUCUACUCUUGGACAGCCUUCUGAAAGGAAGAUUAAUACAAGAUGGCAUCAUGAGUCCACAUGUUCACAUGAUUAAAGGUAUUCCGGUAGACGAUGGGGAAGCGUUCCAUUAGAUAGUAGGCGGGGUAACGGCCCACCUAGUCUUCGAUGGAUAGGGGUUCUGAGAGGAAGGUCCCCCACAUUGGAACUGAGACACGGUCCAAACUCCUACGGGAGGCAGCAGUGAGGAAUAUUGGUCAAUGGGCGAGAGCCUGAACCAGCCAAGUAGCGUGAAGGAUGACUGCCCUAUGGGUUGUAAACUUCUUUUAUAAAGGAAUAAAGUCGGGUAUGGAUACCCGUUUGCAUGUACUUUAUGAAUAAGGAUCGGCUAACUCCGUGCCAGCAGCCGCGGUAAUACGGAGGAUCCGAGCGUUAUCCGGAUUUAUUGGGUUUAAAGGGAGCGUAGAUGGAUGUUUAAGUCAGUUGUGAAAGUUUGCGGCUCAACCGUAAAAUUGCAGUUGAUACUGGAUAUCUUGAGUGCAGUUGAGGCAGGCGGAAUUCGUGGUGUAGCGGUGAAAUGCUUAGAUAUCACGAAGAACUCCGAUUGCGAAGGCAGCCUGCUAAGCUGCAACUGACAUUGAGGCUCGAAAGUGUGGGUAUCAAACAGGAUUAGAUACCCUGGUAGUCCACACGGUAAACGAUGAAUACUCGCUGUUUGCGAUAUACAGCAAGCGGCCAAGCGAAAGCGUUAAGUAUUCCACCUGGGGAGUACGCCGGCAACGGUGAAACUCAAAGGAAUUGACGGGGGCCCGCACAAGCGGAGGAACAUGUGGUUUAAUUCGAUGAUACGCGAGGAACCUUACCCGGGCUUAAAUUGCAGAUGAAUUACGGUGAAAGCCGUAAGCCGCAAGGCAUCUGUGAAGGUGCUGCAUGGUUGUCGUCAGCUCGUGCCGUGAGGUGUCGGCUUAAGUGCCAUAACGAGCGCAACCCUUGUUGUCAGUUACUAACAGGUUCCGCUGAGGACUCUGACAAGACUGCCAUCGUAAGAUGUGAGGAAGGUGGGGAUGACGUCAAAUCAGCACGGCCCUUACGUCCGGGGCUACACACGUGUUACAAUGGGGGGUACAGAGGGCCGCUACCACGCGAGUGGAUGCCAAUCCCAAAAACCUCUCUCAGUUCGGACUGGAGUCUGCAACCCGACUCCACGAAGCUGGAUUCGCUAGUAAUCGCGCAUCAGCCACGGCGCGGUGAAUACGUUCCCGGGCCU